rnacentral:rRNA from 1 species
UACGUAGGGGGCAAGCGUUGUCCGGAUUUACUGGGCGUAAAGGGCGUGCAGGCGGUCUGUUAAGUCUAGGGUGAAAGCUCCCGGCUCAACUGGGAGAGGUCCUUGGAUACUGGCGGACUUGAGGGAGGCAGAGGAGUAUGGAAUUCCCGGUGUAGUGGUGAUAUGCGUAGAUAUCGGGAGGAACACCAGUGGCGAAGGCGGUACUCUGGGCCUUACCUGACGCUGAGACGCGAAAGCGUGGGGAGCGAACAGG